rnacentral:rRNA from 1 species
UCCAGUUGAUCCUGCUGGAGGGUACUGCUAUCGGAGUUCGACUAAGCCAUGCAAGUCUAACCCUAGGACUUCCUGGGGUGGCAGACUGCUGAGUAACACGUAGUCAAUCUACCCUAUAGACGGGGAUAACCUCGAGAAAUUGAGGACAAUACCCGAUAUUCCUCUUAUGCUGGAAUGCUUAGAGGUUUAAAUGGGCGGUGAAUUGGAGCCGUUCCGCUGUAGGACGAGACUGCGGGGGAUUAUGGUUGUUGGUAGGGUAAUGGCUUACCAAGCCGAUAAUCUCUAGGGGCCAUGAGAGUGGUGGCCCCCAGAAGGGCACUGAGACAAGGGCCCUAGCCCUACGGGGUGCAGCAGGCGCGAAACCUCUACAAUGCUGGAAACAGUGAUAGGGGGACUCCGAGUGGCGUCGGCUAAGCUGACGUCUUUUGCCAAGUGUAAAUAGCUUGGAGAAUAAGGGUGUGGGCAAGACUGGUGGCAGCCGCCGCGGUAACACCAGCGCCUCAAGUGGUACCCACGAAUACUGGGCCUAGAGCGUUCGUAGCCGGCCAAAUAAGUCUUCUGUGAAAUAGUAUGGCUUAACCAUACUGCGCGCAGGAGAUACUGUUUGACUUGGGAACGGGGGAGGUCAGGAGUACGCCCGGGGUAGGGGUAAAAUCCUUUGAGCCUGGGCGGACUACCAGUGGCGAAGGCGCCUGACCAAAACGUGUCCGACGGUGAGGAACGAAAGCUGGGGGAGCGAACGGGAUUAGAUACCCCGGUAGUCCCAGCCGUAAAUGAUGCAGACUGUGUGUUGCUUCAGAGUUAAUCUGCAGCAGUGCUGUAGCGUAGGUGUUAAGUCUGCCGCCUGGGGAGUACGGCCGCAAGGUUGAAACUUAAAGGAAUUGGCGGGGGUGCACCACAAGGGGUGGUUGCUACGGUUUAAUUGGAUACAACGCCGUGAACUUCACCAAGGGCGACGGCAGAAUGAAGGUCAGACUAAAGAUCUUACCUAACAAGCCGAGAGGUGUUGCAUGGCCAUCGUCAGCUUGUGGCGUGAGUUGUCAGGUUAAGUCCUGCAACGAGCGAGACCCAUACCAUUAAUUGCUACUUUUACCUUUAGUAAGAGGCACCUUAAUGGGACUGCCCGCGUUAAGUGGGAGGAAGGAGUGGGCGACGGUAGGUCAGUAUGGCCCGAAUCCCUUGGGCUACACGCGGCAUACAAUGGCUGGAACAAUGGGUUGCUACUCCGAAAGGAGACGCUAAUCCCCUAAAUCCAGUCUUAGUUCGGAUUGAGGGUUGAAACUCACCCUCAUGAAGCUGGAAUCCCUAGUAAUCGCGUGUCAUCAUCGCGGGUGAAUACGUCCCCGCUCCUUGCACACACCGCCCGUCAAGUCACCCAAAUGUGGUGUAGGUGAGGCUCCGGUUUCUGCCGGAUUCGAACCUAUGUUGCGUGAGGGGGGCUAAGUCGUAACAAGGUA